GUUGGAGUAAUAAUCACUCCGCCCGAGUAGCGGUGCUUUGCCUUCUGAGAAUACUUCCCAGUAUGUAUUCAGUUAGAAGAUGGCUGUCUCUCAUGUGACCUAGUUAUUUGUACAUGCUGGGACUAUACAAAUCCCAACAUGUAAAUAGGAACAUGUUUUUUUGUCACUUAUUGGGAGCUGUGGGCUAGAUGGAGCCGUCUACCUCCAGGAUCUGUGCUAAGUUAGGCUAGAUGGAGCCGGUUACCUCCAGGAUCUGUGCUGAGCUGGGCUUGCGGUGGGUGCGUCAGACAGAGUUACGACACAAGGCGAUGAGGAGGGUAUGUAUGGACUUAUCUACCUCUGGGGAUACGGCGAAUAAGCUAAAAUCCCAAUAAGUCGGUGUUCUACUUUAAUC